GGUAAUACGAAGGGUGCAAGCGUUACUCGGAAUUACUGGGCGUAAAGCGUGCGUAGGUGGUUGUUUAAGUCUGUUGUGAAAGCCCUGGGCUCAACCUGGGAACUGCAGUGGAAACUGGACAACUAGAGUGUGGUAGAGGGUAGCGGAAUUCCCGGUGUAGCAGUGAAAUGCGUAGAGAUCGGGAGGAACAUCCAUGGCGAAGGCAGCUACCUGGACCAACACUGACACUGAGGCACGAAAGCGUGGGGAGCAAACAGGAUU
rnacentral:rRNA from 1 species